rnacentral:rRNA from 1 species
UGGGGAAUUUUGGACAAUGGGCGAAAGCCUGAUCCAGCAAUGCCGCGUGUGUGAAGAAGGCCUUCGGGUUGUAAAGCACUUUUGUCCGGAAAGAAAUCCUUGGCUCUAAUACAGUCGGGGGAUGACGGUACCGGAAGAAUAAGCACCGGCUAACUACGUGCCAGCAGCCGCGGUAAUACGUAGGGUGCAAGCGUUAAUCGGAAUUACUGGGCGUAAAGCGUGCGCAGGCGGUUUGCUAAGACCGAUGUGAAAUCCCCGGGCUCAACCUGGGAACUGCGUUGGUGACUGGCAGGCUAGAGUAUGGCAGAGGGGGGUAGAAUUCCACGUGUAGCAGUGAAAUGCGUAGAGAUGUGGAGGAAUACCGAUGGCGAAGGCAGCCCCCUGGGCCAAUACUGACGCUCAUGCACGAAAGCGUGGGGAGCAAAACAGGAUUAGAUACCCUGGUAGUCCACGCCCUAAAACGAUGUCAACUAGUUGUUGGGGAUUCAUUUCCUUAGUAACGUAGCUAACGCGUGAAGUUGACCGCCUGGGGAGUACGGUCGCAAGAUUAAAACUCAAAGGAAUUGACGGGGUCAUAGCUGUUUCCU